rnacentral:rRNA from 1 species
CCUACGGGGUGCAGCAGUGGGGAAUAUUGCACAAUGGGGGAAACCCUGAUGCAGCGACGCCGCGUGAGUGAAGAAGUAAUUCGUUACGUAAAGCUCUAUCAGCAGGGAAGAAAAUGACGGUACCUGAGUAAGAAGCCCCGGCUAACUACGUGCCAGCAGCCGCGGUAAUACGUAGGGGGCAAGCGUUAUCCGGAUUUACUGGGUGUAAAGGGAGCGUAGACAGUGCGCCAAGUCUGGAGUGAAAUGCCGCAGCUUAACUGCGGAACUGCUUUGGAAACUGGCGAACUAGAGUGCGGGAGGGGUAAGUGGAAUUCCUAGUGUAGCGGUGGAAUGCGUAGAUAUUAGGAGGAACAUCAGGGGCGAAGGCGACUUACUGGACUGUAACUGACACUGAGGCACGAAAGCGUGGGGAGCAAACAGGAUUAGAUACCCUGGUAGUC